CCUUAGACUCUAAAUCAAAUCUUCAAUUAAAUCCUAGAUAAAUCCUAAAUCCUAAAAUACAUCCUAAAUCAAACCUUAGACAAAUCUUAAAUCUUAAAUCAAAUCUUUGAUCAAAUCCUAGACCAUAAAUUAAACUCUAAAUCAAACUCUAAAUAAAUCCUAAAUCAAAUCCAAGAUCAAAUCCUAAAUCAAAUCCUAAAUCAAAUCCUAAAUCAAAUCCUAAACAAAUCCUAAAACCCAAACUAAAUCCUAGAUCAAACUCUAGAUCUGAAACUAAACCUUAACCCUAUUCAAUUUAAUCCUAAUAUAGUUUAGAAUCUUAAUAUCUAUCAAUUGAAUCAUUGAACUUGCUUAAAUAUUUUACAUACUUAUCAACAAUUGAGUUGAAAAUAAGUACACAAAAUUUAUAGAU
rnacentral:lncRNA from 1 species